CAGUUAUAUACAACAUGUUGAUGGUUCCACUGUGUAUUACUGUCAGUUAUAUACAACAACAUGAUGAUGGUUCCACUGUGUAUUACUGUCAGUUAUAUACAACAUGAUGAUGGUUCCACUGUGUAUUACUGUCAGUUAUAUACAACAACAUGAUGAUGGUUCCACUGUGUAUUACUGUCAGUUAUAUACAACAUGAUGAUGGUUCCACUGUGUAUUACUGUCAGUUAUAUACAACAUGAUGAUGAUGGUUCCACUGUGUAUUACUGUCAGUUAUAUACAACAUGAUGAUGGUUCCACUGUGUAUUACUGUCAGUUAUAUACAACAACAUGAUGAUGGUUCCACUGUGUAUUACUGUCAGUUAUAUACAACAUGAUGAUGGUUUAACUGUGUAUUACUUUCAGUUAUAUACAACAACAUGAUGAUGGUUCCACUAUGUAUUACUGUCAGUUAUAUACAACAUGAUGAUGGUUCCACUGUGUAUUACUGUCAGUUAUAUACAACAACAUGAUGAUGGUUCCACUAUGUAUUACUGUCAGUUAUAUACAACAACAUGAUGAUGGUUCCACUGUGUAUUACUGUCAGUUAUAUACAACAUGAUGAUGAUGGUUCCACUGUGUAUUACUGUCAGUUAUAUACAACAUGAUGAUGGUUCCACUGUGUAUUACUGUCAGUUAUAUACAACAACAUGAUGAUGGUUCCACUGUGUAUUACUGUCAGUUAUAUACAACAUGAUGAUGGUUUCACUGUGUAUUACUUUCAGUUAUAUACAACAACAUGAUGAUGGUUCCACUAUGUAUUACUGUCAGUUAUAUACAACAUGAUGAUGGUUCCACUGUGUAUUACUGUCAGUUAUAUACCACAUGAUGAUGGUUCCACUGUGUAUUACUGUCAGUUAUAUACAACAACAUGAUGAUGGUUCCACUAUGUAAUACUGUCAGUUAUAUACAACAUGAUGAUGGUUUCACUGUGUAUUACUGUCAGUUAUAUACAACAACAUGAUGAUGGUUCCACUGUG
rnacentral:lncRNA from 13 species